rnacentral:sRNA from 1 species
AAAGAGGACUAAAAUGAAG